GGUGACUGUGAUAGAUGCCACGUCAGCGGUUAUGACUUUUUCACUUUUCACUCGACCAGUCCGGUUAUUUACAGGAGAGCGGAGUCCUCGCCUCUGGAAUCUGGAUGGGUGAGAUCAGCUGAGGGGAUGUGGAUGGAUGGUUGGAUGGAUGGACCGGCGCGUGAUUUUCUUCUCCGGGGUUGGUGUUGAUAGCCUUUCGAGGGUGAUGUCGCUUGUUUCGUCGGCUUGUGCGUCUGGAUGAAAAGGGUAACGAGUGUGGAUAGAAGUCUUAUAUUGGCGGUGCCGAGAAGCUGUUCUGCCAAACAAUGCAACCCACGCUUGAAAGGUCAACGCUAACACUAUAGAAAGUACUCCUCAUAAGAGUUUGAGGUCGAGGAUCAAAGCUGGAUCAUUUUCUUAUCAAUCAACACUUCCACUUUAUCAUUUUCAUCGCCACCAAGCAAUUUUUCAAUAGAGUUGAAGAGCCUAAUGACACCGUCGGGUGCUACCACUGAGAGAUGGUGCAAGGUUGUGCAGCGUCUUACCGGCCAGACGAGCGUGCUGCCAUGGAUGCAGAAGUCAUGUGCUAUGGCAACCAUGGACGGGAGGGGCAUGUACCCGUUACUUACCAGGGAGGGGAUCCUUAACGGUAUAACACUUUCCUUACCAAGGAGGGGAUCAUCCGUUGCCGGUGAUCUUUUAUUAUUAUUAUUUUUAGGGGCAAGCAUCCCGGCCUGCAGGGACCAGGAUCCAUCUGUUGCCGGUGAUCUUGAUCCUAGAUUUCUCUAAGGUUGCGCUUACCAAGGGAUCAUCACCUGAAGCCUCCACACCGCCAACGGCGAUCAGCCUCGCCAACAUCACCUUGACGAGAGGAUCUCCGAUAUUGGGUUUCUCACCUCGGCUAAUGCUUUCUUUUCCUUCAAGCAGCGAUUGUCAGGAAUAUCUUCCUGCAAAGAAAUGGCAGCUGGUAGUAACCUCCUGCACCUAAGAGAAAGCCAAAGAAGCGGCUCAUGUUGAUGAUUCCAAUGAAAAAGAGGAUGACGAAC